rnacentral:lncRNA from 1 species
AUUAAUGUGCUUGAACCAACUUGUUUAUAAUAAUCAUCAUGGGUUAGUUUAAUUAUCAGUCGGUAAUUAUCAGAAGCACAAAAAAUAAGACUAACAAAAAAGUAUUCGAAAUCAAAAUAUAUAUAUUUUACACUAUAAAAAAAUUCAACUACCAAAAUAUAUAUUUUUUACAAAACCUACUCAUUCUAACCAUCCAUCAAACUUGAUGAGUGGUUAGAAAGUUAGGAGCACAAGGGCUGCUGUGCUCCUAAUAGCACAAUAGCUCUGCUCUCUCUCUCUCUCUCUCUC